rnacentral:rRNA from 1 species
AUUGAACGCUGGCGGCAGGCCUAACACAUGCAAGUCGAACGGCAGCACAGAAGAGCUUGCUCUUUGGGUGGCGAGUGGCGGACGGGUGAGUAAUGUCUGGGAAACUGCCCGAUGGAGGGGGAUAACUACUGGAAACGGUAGCUAAUACCGCAUAACGUCGCGAGACCAAAGUGGGGGACCUUCGGGCCUCACACCAUCGGAUGUGCCUAGAUUGGAUUAGCUAGUAGGUGGGGUAAUGGCUCACCUAGGCGACGAUCCCUAGCUGGUCUGAGAGGAUGACCAGCCACACUGGAACUGAGACACGGUCCAGACUCCUACAGGAGGCAGCAGUGGGGAAUAUUGCACAAUGGGCGCAAGCCUGAUGCAGCCAUGCCGCGUGUAUGAAGAAGGCCUUCGGGUUGUAAAGUACUUUCAGCGGGGAGGAAGGCGGUGAGGUUAAUAACCUUGCCGAUUGACGUUACCCGCAGAAGAAGCACCGGCUAACUCCGUGCCAGCCGCCGCAGUAA